rnacentral:rRNA from 1 species
GACGAACGCUGGCGGCGUGCUUAACACAUGCAAGUCGAACGGCGCGGCGAACGGGUGAGUAACGCGUGAGUAACUGCCCCCCUCUCUGGGAUAACAGUUGGAAACGGCUGCUAAUACCGGAUAGUGGGGGAUGACUCGCGUCCUAUCAGCUUGGUGGUGGGGUAGUGGCCUACCAAGGCGACGACGGGUAGCCGGCCUGAGAGGGCGACCGGCCACAUUGCGCUGAGAUACGGACCAAACUCCGACGGGAGGCAGCAGGGGGGAAUAUUGCACAAUGGGGGAAACCAUGAUGAAGCAACGCCGCGGGCGGGAUGACGGCCUUCGGGUGGUAAACCGCUUUCAGCCAUGACGCGGUAGUGGCAGAAGAAGCACCGGCUAACUACGUGCCAGCAGCCGCGGUAAUUC